rnacentral:rRNA from 1 species
CACGUAGGGUGCGAGCGUUGUCCGGAAUUAUUGGGCGUAAAGAGCUCGUAGGUGGUUUGUCGCGUUGUUCGUGAAAACUCACAGCUUAACUGUGGGCGUGCGGGCGAUACGGGCAGACUGGAGUACUGCAGGGGAGACUGGAAUUCCUGGUGUAGCGGUGGAAUGCGCAGAUAUCAGGAGGAACACCGGUGGCGAAGGCGGGUCUCUGGGCAGUAACUGACGCUGAGGAGCGAAAGCGUGGGGAGCGAACAGG